rnacentral:rRNA from 1 species
UGGGGAAUAUUGGACAAUGGGCGAAAGCCUGAUCCAGCCAUGCCGCGUGUGUGAAGAAGGUCUUCGGAUUGUAAAGCACUUUAAGUUGGGAGGAAGGGCAGUAAGCGAAUACCUUGCUGUUUUGACGUUACCGACAGAAUAAGCACCGGCUAACUCUGUGCCAGCAGCCGCGGUAAUACAGAGGGUGCAAGCGUUAAUCGGAAUUACUGGGCGUAAAGCGCGCGUAGGUGGUUCGUUAAGUUGAAUGUGAAAGCCCCGGGCUCAACCUGGGAACUGCAUCCAUAACUGGCGAGCUAGAGUAGGGCCGAGGGUGGUGGAAUUUCCUGUGUAGCGGUGAAAUGCGUAGAUAUAGGAAGGAACACCAGUGGCGAAGGCGACCACCUGGGCUCAUACUGACACUGAGGUGCGAAAGCGUGGGGAGCAAACAGG